CAGAGAGCUUGCUCUUGGGUGACGAGUGGCGGACGGUUGAGUAAUGUCUGGGAAACUGCCCGAUGGAGGGGGAUAACUACUGGAAACGGAAGCUAAUACCGCAUAACGUCGCAAGACCAAAGUGGGGGACCUUCGGGCCUCAGACCAUCGGAUGUGCCCAGAUGGGAUUAGCUAGUAGGUGGGGUAAUGGCUCACCUAGGCGACGAUCCCUAGCUGGUCUGAGAGGAUGACCAGCCACACUGGAACUGAGCCAUGAUCAAAAUCUAAUCCGGAGGCGGCCGUGGGGAAUAAUUGCACAAUGGGCGCAACGCUGAUGCACCCAUGCCGCGCGCAUGAAGAAGGCCUUCGGGUUGUAAAGUACUUUCAGUGAGGAGGAAGGAAUCGUGGAUCAUAACCGCAGAGUUUGAAGCUACUCGCCGAAGAAGCUCCGGCUAACUCCAUGCCAGCUCCCGCUCCAAUACGGAGGGUGCCAGUGUUAAUC
rnacentral:rRNA from 1 species